GAGAAGCCUUUUCUUUUUUUCGCUGAGCUAAUUGUGGAAAGACAUGAUAGAUCUUAACAUCGGAAAAAAGCCAGAAGGUCUGCUGCAUAUGGCAAAAUUUAUCAUUUGAAGGCUAAGGAGAAAAAGUUAUCAACUGGUAAUAUGGCUGAUGUUCAAUAGUGAAGAGGUGAAGCUUAGCCUUGCAAACGCAAAAUUUGAUCUUACUUUUGAGUGGCGCAAAAGUUUCUUUUUCUAGGACGAUACAAGUGUAGCUACACUUAGCUUAGGAGGAA